AUUGAACGCUGGCGGCAGGCCUAACACAUGCAAGUCGAACGAGUGGCGGACGGGUGAGUAAUGUCUGGGAAACUGCCCGAUGGAGGGGGAUAACUACUGGAAACGGUAGCUAAUACCGCAUACCAUCGGAUGUGCCCAGAUGGGAUUAGCUAGUAGGUGGGGUAACGGCUCACCUAGGCGACGAUCCCUAGCUGGUCUGAGAGGAUGACCAGCAAUGCUGGCACUGAGACACGGUCCAGACUCCUGCGGGAGGCAGCAGUGGGGAAUGUUCCACAAUGGGCGCAAGCCUGAUGCAGCCAUGCCGCGUGUGUGAAGAAGGCCUUCGGGUUGUAAAGUACUUUCAGCGAGGAGGCGUUACCCGCAGAAGAAGCACCGGCUAACUCCGUGCCAGCAGCCGCGGUAAUAC
rnacentral:rRNA from 1 species